rnacentral:rRNA from 1 species
UGCGGAGGAUGCGAGCGUUAUCCGGAUUUAUUGGGUUUAAAGGGUGCGUAGGCGGGUCGCCGAGUCAGGGGUGAAAUCCCGGAGCCUAACUCCGGAACUGCCUUUGAUACUGACGGUCUUGAAUUCGGAUGCCGUGGGAGGAAUGAGUAGUGUAGCGGUGAAAUGCAUAGAUAUUACUCAGAACACCGAUUGCGAAGGCAUCUCACGAGUCCGCGAUUGACGCUGAGGCACGAAAGCGUGGGGAUCAAAC